UAUCAGAUCUUGUGCCUUGACACCCUGU
rnacentral:sRNA from 1 species